rnacentral:rRNA from 1 species
AUUGAACGCUGGCGGAAUGCUUUACACAUGCAAGUCGAACGGCAGCACGGGGGCAGCCCUGGUGGCGAGUGGCGAACGGGUGAGUAAUACAUCGGAACGUGCCCGGUCGUGGGGGAUAACGUAGCGAAAGUUACGCUAAUACCGCAUACGAUCUGAGGAUGAAAGCGGGGGACCUUCGGGCCUCGCGCGAUCGGAGCGGCCGAUGCCAGAUUAGGUAGUUGGUGGGGUAAAGGCCUACCAAGCCGACGAUCUGUAGCUGGUCUGAGAGGACGACCAGCCACACUGGGACUGAGACACGGCCCAGACUCCUACGGGAGGCAGCAGUGGGGAAUUUUGGACGAUGGGCGCAAGCCUGAUCCAGCCAUUCCGCGUGCAGGACGAAGGCCUUCGGGUUGUAAACUGCUUUUGUACGGAACGAAAAGGCUCUGGCUAAUACCUGGGGCUCAUGACGGUACCGGAAGAAUAAGCACCGGCUAACUACGUG